CACAGAUGCUGCUUGGAUCUGGCAUUGCUGUGGCUGUGGUGUGGACUGGCAGCUGCAGCUCUGAUUUGACCCCUAGCCUGGGAACUUGCAUAUGUUGCAGGUGUGGCCCUAAAAAGGAAAAAAAAUAAAUAAAAAGUAAUCUACCAUUUCUGGAGCUUCUCUAUGCCAGGUAUUAUCCCAGGCACUGAGAAUAGAGCCAUAUGAACAAAAUUAAGUCCCUGUCUUCAAGGAGCUUUCAUGCCAGUUGAGAGGAAUAACAGUAGGCAGGGAGACAAUGAAACCUGUGAUGAUAAUACGUCAGAUGAUGCCAGGAGCUAGAAGAAAAAUGAGACCAUGCACAGAGAUCUUAGAACCAUUAGGGGCGUCCUUGUCAGGAGUGAGGUUUGAGCAUCAGCCUGGACAGGCGAGGAAGAGGGCCAGGUGGGCGCGUGCAGGGGGAAGUAUGUUAGGCCCAGAGGGCUUUGUGUGCAAAGGCCAGGCAGCACAAGGGCAAUUGUGAGUCUGAGGAAUUUGGAGCCGUCUGCGGGGCUGGAGGACCAUGGAGGGAAGGGACAGGACAGGCAGGAUCUCCCAAGAGGUGAGCAGCCUGGCGGCCCUGGGGAGGAGGUGAGGGCAGAUGGAGAAUGGGACCUGCCUGGCCACGUGAGGACGGUGACAGAGGUGCUGUGCAGGAGGUGAUAGGAUUCUGGAAGUGCCCUCCGGCUGCUGUGUGACAAGGAGGUUGUAGCAGGAUGUUUUGCUAGCUGGCUAGGGCUUACUGUAACAAAAUACUACAGGCCGGGGGGCCUGAGCCACAGAAAUGUCUUCUCUCACAGUUCUGAGGCUGGAAGUCCAAGUUCAAGGUGUCGACAGGUAUAGUUUCCUCUGAGGCCUCUCUCCCUGGCGUGCAGAUGGCCGCCUUCUCCGUGUGGUCUUUUCUCUGUGCACGGGCACCCUGCUGUCUCUCUCUGGGUCCACACUUCCUUCUCUUCUAAGGUCAUCUGUUGGAUUGCAUCAGGGCCCACCCUAGUGGUCUCAGAUGAACGGAAGCCCCUCGCUCAGGGCUCUUUCUCCAAAUACAGCCACAUUCUGAGUUGCCGGGGCUGAGAGUUCCCAUAUUUGGAGGGAACACAGUCUGGCUCGUAUGGGGGCAAGGUUAGACCUGGGGAGACCAGUUAGGGGGUGAGCAAGCGAUGACGGCGGCUCGGAGCAGAGCCGUAGAUGUGGAAGUGUGAGGAGGAGUCCGAUUCCACAGUGGCCUACGUGGAGUAGGAUGUCCCAAGAUGGACUGGAUGGAGAGUGCGAAGAAGGAAACGAGUCAAGGCUGCCUCCAGACUUUCUGGCCUGGGCGCCCGGAAGCCUGAGGUUGGCAUUGCCUGAGACAGAGGAAACGGUGGGAGGAGCACCUCUGGGGAGAUGCUGAGGGUUCUGUGUGGGACACAUUAAGUUUGAGAUACCUGCUCAGAAUCUAAGCAGAAAUGUGUAGUGGUCGGUAGGUACCCGUGGAGUUUAGGACAGAGGUCAGGGUUUCCUGACAUUUAAUUAUUCUUUCUUAAUCCUGUGGUUUCUUAUAAUAGUUUAUCAAGAGCUAAUUCACAUCCUGUAAAAUUCAGCCUUCUAAAGUGUACAUUUUGGUGGAUUUUUAGUGUAUUCAUAGGAUUGUGCAACCAUCACCACCGCCUAAUUUCAUAACAUUUUCAUCCCCCCUAAAGAAACCCCAUCCCCAUCCCCAGUCACUCCCGUUCCUCUGUCCCCUCAAGCCCUUGGCCAUCAGUAAUCCCCUUCCUCUCUAUAGACAGGCCUCUUCCGGGCCUUUCCCAAACCUGGAAUCACAUAAUAUGUGGCCUUUUGUGUCCGGCUUCUUUCACUGAGCAUCAUGUUUCCAAGGUCCAUCUGUGACCAUCAGUCCUUCCUUAUUGUGGCUGAAUAAUAUUCCAUUGUAUGCCUAAGCUGUAAUUUGUGUAUCCACUUAUCAGCUGGUGGGAUAAUUGGGUUGUUUCCACUUUGGGGCUAUUACGAAUAGUGCUGCAAUGAGCACAGCAUUCAUGUACCAGUUUUUGUGUGAACACAUGUUUUCAAUUCUCUUGAGUAUAUACUUAGAAGUGGAAUGCUAGGUCAUAGGGUGGCUCUAUGUUUAAUUUUUUGAGGAAUUUUAAAACUGUUUUCUAAAGCAGCUGCACCAUUUUACAUUCCUACCAGCAAUGUGUGAAGAUUCCAAUUUCUCCCGAUACGCACUAACCCUCAUUGUUCUGUCUUUUUGAUUACAGCCAUCCGAGUGGGUGUGAAGCGGUAUCUCAUUGAGUUUUGAUCUGCAAUUCCCGGAAUAUUAAUGAUGUUGAGCAUUUUUCAUGGGCUUAUCAGCCCCUUGUCUAUCUUUUUUUUUUUUAGAAAAAUAUUUGUUCAGAUUCUUUGCCUCUUUUAAUUGGGUUAUUUGUCCUUUUAUUUUUUGGGUUCUAAGAGUUCCUUGUAUAUUCUGGAUACAGGUCUCUCUCUGAAUUACGAUUUAUCAAUAGUUCUCUCUAUUCCAUGGGUCAUCUUUUCCUUUCUUGAUGAUGUUCUCUGAAGCACAAAGUUUUUAAUUUUGAUGAACUGACAUAUAAGUUUGGGAGCCAUCAGCAUACACAUGUUAUUUUAAGCCACGAGCCUCCAUGCGAUCCUCUAAGAUGUAGUUUGGUAAAGAAUUAAAGGAGUGGACACGAUCAAGGAGUUGCCCAUCCUCAGAGGUCCGAGAUGUAAGAAGACACCAGCCAAAGAGACUAAGAAGGACCCCACUCCCUCUUUCCCUCAUCUCUCCGUACUGUUGCCAAGAGGCAACAGUAAAUUCAAAGUUCUGUCAUUUUGUUCAUUUUUAAGGCAGUAUCUCAGUUCUCUUUUUCAAGGCCACAUGAACUCCAGGGGUUCUGUGGCUGUUCUGGUGAGGCGUCCUUUUACUUUCAUGACACUGAUCAGAUGACCUGAUGGCCUCUGCCCGAAAACCUCUCCGUAUUCUCACCUCAGAUUACUUUUGCUUUUACACGAAGUGAGUAACCACAUUGUCACUUGAAGCUACACCUGUUGAGAAGAUUCUCACUUUCCAUCUCAGCCAGUCAUCCCAUGUGUUGCAGCCUCCAUCCACUUUUGCUUUGUACCAACCAGCCCAGCUCAUCUCUAAAGCACGCUAGGGCCUCUUCCUCUGCCUGCAGCUGGUCUUAAGAACAUCCAGCAUGGACUAGAUGUCAUCUGGAUGCUUGAGCCACUGUGAUAGGUGACCUGGGACUCUGGACUAUCCAUCCAUGGAGCUUGGUCCCAGAUAUACCAUUUCCAACUUACAUUGAACUGCUGCUGGGCCCACCCAACUCUCUGACUUGGUGGGUCUGACAGACCCCAGCUCAUAAUAGGUAACCGUAGACUGUCUCUCUUGGGACCCAGUAAUACAACACGAGUUGUUUCCCUGAAGGUAUGUGCUUGUCUGCUGCAGAUUGCAUGGCCCUGCCUUAGCAUCCUGAAGCUGCAUCAUGAUUCUCCCACUGGCUCUAUCAGCAAUUUGUCUUUUAAUUUAGAGGGGGUGUUCUGGUGCAUCUCGGACCAGUGGAGCCCUGAAAACUCCCCCGUGGCUGUGGCCAGUUGCCGAAUCGUCAUAGCAUUCACAUCCCACCCUGUGUGGCACACUGGUCUUACCAAGGCUUCCAGUGCUCGGCCAUCUCUUGCUCAUUCUGUCUGAUGAGCCUGAUGCCGUCAAUGUAGCCAAUGACGGUGAUGUUGUCUGAUGAGCCUGAUGCCGUCAAUGUAGCCAAUGACGGUGAUGUUGUCUGAUGAGCCUGAUGCCGUCAAUGUAGCCAAUGACGGUGAUGUUGUCUGAUGAGCCUGAUGCCGUCAAUGUAGCCAAUGACUGAUGUUCCAUGGAAGGUCCAGGUGGUCCAGAUCUCUUUGGACUAUGUUAUCACCAAAGCCGAGAGAGCUAAGAGAGAUGGAGGCACAACUAAAUAAGCAUUAUCGGUGUCAUGAUCACGAGAACUAUUUCUGGAUCUUCUUUUCUUGCAAAAAGAGGAAACAUUUACCAAACCAGGAGCCACACACCACAUACGUUAGGCCUUAUGAAUCUUCUAGAGCAAAAAAUACCUCGUCUAUCACAGCAGCUACAGUCAGGCCUACUGAGUCGUUGAGUUGCAGUCAUCCCCAGGCAUUCUCCAGAUCUGUCGCUCUCUGCAGGGCUCCAGCUGGCAGAUCAAGUGAAGAUACAAGAGGGGCCAUCAUCUCCUUUAAGUAUUGAGUGGUGAUAUUAGUCUUUUCCAAUCCUCAGGGAUGAACUAUUUUUUUAUUUCCCUUCUUGGCCAGGCAGGAGGGGGCACCUUCAGAAGUUUCCAUUUGCCCUUCUUCACUCUGAUGGCUCUUAUGCCAAAGGCCAAAGACCCAAUGUGGAUAUUAUACCCACUGCUAAACUUAAUCCCAAUUUGACACUGGAGGAUGGGGGAGAUGACCACAGACCCCGUAGACCUACCAGGAGCCAGAUAUUGACCAUGAAUCCAUUUAUAACCUGGUUCCUACGAGCCCUCACUCUACAGGAGACCAAGGUAGGGCUCUGUGUCUCUGGCUGUCAGUGUCACCACAGGAAUGCCCAAGGGUCUUUCAAACACCUGGAUCUCCCCACUUUCUUCGUGUGCAAUAACCUGAGUACAUGUUCUAGUAUAUACGUGGGGUGAUGUCACUGGGUCCUUUCUGUUAAUAACGCAUCUACCUCUGCCACUAGCAGGUUCUGGAUCUGAAAAGUGACUUGAUCCAGACACUGAGUGAGGGCCCAUGACUGCUUCUUGGAUCCACUGCCCUUAGUCUCCUGUGUCUCCACACUUGCUUUGUUGUUGUGAUAAAUGGCGUCACUCCGAGCUGCCCCCUGUGUUACAUCUAGGAUGGCGCUGCUCUGUCAGCAAUCUCCACACCCCAUCGGUCACCCCUCCAGACUUGCUGGUUGUUAUGGUGAAACGCACCAGAGCUGGCUCCCGCUAAUUGACAUCUGGCUUCUGUCCCUUGUGAAGGUGGGGUCACCCCCAGCUCUGUGACUCCCCCUCUGGCCUGCAGAGGAGAGCCACCACCAGACUUCUUGGUGACCUUAAGUUAAUAAGGUCCUGGUGGCCUUAGUUCAUGGUGUGUCCUCUGGAUCCUUUCAUAGAACAGGAUCUGGUGACCCCCUGACCUCACAUAACGGAUCCAUUCCAGCUUUCAGCUUCUUUAUUCCUCCCUCUUCUCUCUUUUAGAGCGAAUCAUGCAUGCCACUUUGUCCGCAUGGGCUCAUCACUCUCUCCAGGCUUCUGAGCACUAUUGGAUUUGUUGUCUCUGGCGGUGGAAUAAACACCCUAAAACCUGGUGACUUUGAAGAACACCAGGUCUUUCACAAUUGUGGGUCAGGUGGGAAGGGGCUUUGCUGAGUGGUUCUGGCUCAGGGACCCUCAUGAGGUUGCCGUCAAGGUGUCAGUGGGGCCGCAUCAUCUGAAGCUUGGGUGGGGGCUGGAGGAGUGGCUUCUGAGAAGGCUCACGGGCACGGCUGGCCGUUGGUGCUGGCUGGGGUGUCCUGUUCUCUUCCCUGUGACCUCUCAUCCUCCAGAAUCUCUCUCUGGAGGUGGCUUCUCCUGCAAGAUAGUCUGGACUUCUCGUGGUGCCUGGACUUUGGAAAAGAAGGAAAAGGUAUUUGUCAGGAGGGCAGAAAGAGCACCAGGAGAGAGAGAGAGAGAGAAAGCCUCAGACGUAAGCCAGCCUCGUCAUGGACAUGGCAUCCGUCACUCUGCCAUAUUCUACUUGGUGGGAGUCACAAGUCCAGCCCAUCGUCAGUGGGAAGGGAUGACGAAAGGGCAUGGACACCAGGAGGGGGCCAUGGGGCCCGUCUUGGAGGCCUCCGGCCAUAGCAACCCCAGCAGCAAGGUCACCUGGACCCCUGUGGUC
rnacentral:lncRNA from 1 species